UACAGAGGGUGCGAGCGUUGUCCGGAAUCACUGGGCGUAAAGGGCGCGUAGGUGGCGCGCCAAGUCAGUGGUGAAAGCUCGACGCUCAACGUCGAGUCGGCCACUGAUACUGUUGGGCUUGAGCACUGUAGAGGCUAAUGGAAUUCCGGGUGUAGCGGUGGAAUGCGCAGAUAUCAGGAGGAACACCGAUGGCGAAGGCAGCCCCCUGGGUCAAGACUGACGCUCAUGCACGAAAGCGUGGGGAGCAAACAGG
rnacentral:rRNA from 1 species